rnacentral:rRNA from 1 species
GACGAACGCUGGCGGCGUGCUUAACACGUGCAAGUCGAACGGAAAGGCCCUGCUUUUGUUGUGUGCUCGAGUGGCGAACGGGUCAGUAACACGUGAGUAACCUGCCUUUGCCUUUGGGAUCACUUCAGGAAACUGGGGCUACUACCGCUUAGUCGCUCCUGCUGCAUGGUGGGGGUUCGAAAGUUUCGGCGGUUGGGGAUGGACUCGCGGCUUAUCUGCUUGCUGGUGGGGUAGUGGCUUACCAAGGCUUUGACGGGUAGCCGGCCUGAGAGGGUGACCGGCCACAUUGGGACUGAGAUACGGCCCAGACUCCUACGGGAGGCAGCAGUGGGGAAUAUUGCACAAUGGGCGGAAGCCUGAUGCAGCAACGCCGCGUGCGGGAUGACGGCCUUCGGGUUGUAAACCGCUUUCGCCUGUGACGAAGCGUGAGUGACGGUAAUGGGUAAAGAAGCACCGGCUAACUACGUG